GAUGAACGCUGACAGAAUGCUUAACACAUGCAAGUCGACUGGAAUUUGGGGUUUUAACUUCGGUUUGGGUGGCGGACGGGUGAGUAACGCGUAAAGAACUUGCCUCUCAGCUAGGGACAAGAUUUGGAAACGAAUGCUAAUUCCUAAUAUUAUGAUAAUAAGGCAUCCUAUACUUAUGAAAGCUAUAAGCGCUGUGAGAGGGCUUUGCGUCACAUUAGCUAGUUGGAGAGGUAACGGCUCACCAAGGAGAUGAUGGGUAGCCGGCCUGAGAGGGUGACCGGCCACAAGGGGCCUGAGACACGGCCCUUACUCCUACGGGAGGCAGCAGUGGGGAAUAUUGGACAAUGGACCGAGAGUCUGAUCCAGCAAUUCUGUGUGCACGAUGAAGUUUUUCGGAAUGUAAAGUGCUUUCAGUUGGGAAGAAACAAAUGACGGUACCAACAGAAGAAGUGACGGCUAAAUACGUG
rnacentral:rRNA from 1 species